GGGAAGGUGGCUCAGUAGUAGAGUGCUUGCCUUGCAUGCAUGAGGCCCUGGGUUUGAUUCCUCACCACCACA
rnacentral:tRNA from 1 species